rnacentral:tRNA from 2 species
GCACCCGUAGCUCAGCUGGAUAGAGCGUCGCCCUCCGAAGGCGAAGGUCCCGCGUUCGAAUCGCGGCGGGUGCGCCA